GACGAACGCUGGCGGCGUGCUUAACACAUGCAAGUCGAACGGGAAGGCCCUGCUUUGGUGGGGUGCUCGAGUGGCGAACGGGUGAGUAACACGUGAGUAACCUGCCCUUGACUUUGGGGUAACUUCAGGAAACUGGGGGUAAUAGCGGAUAGGAGCUCCUGCUGCAGGGUGGGGGUUGGAAAGUUUCGGCGGUUGGGGAUGGACUCGCGGCUUAUCAGCUUGUUGGUGGGGUAGUGGGUUACCAAGGCUUUGACGGGUAGCCGGCCUGAGAGGGUGACCGGCCCCAUUGGGCCUGAAAUAAGGCCCAGACUCCUACGGGAGGCAGCAGUGGGGAAUAUUGCACAAUGGGCGGAAGCCUGAUGCAGCAACGCCGCGUGCGGGAUGACGGCCUUCGGGUUGUAUUCCGAUUUCGCCUGUGACGAAGCGUGAGUGACGGUAAUGGGUAAAGAAGCACCGGCUAACUACGUG
rnacentral:rRNA from 1 species